rnacentral:rRNA from 1 species
UGGCUCAGGAUGAACGCUGGCGGCAGGCUUAACACAUGCAAGUCGAGGGGCAGCGCGAGGGUAGCAAUACCUUUGGCGGCGACCGGCGCACUGGUGAGUAACACGUAUGCGACCUGCCCCGGACAGGGGGAUAAACCCGGGAAACUGGGCCUAAUACCCCAUACGCCUUCCCGUCGCAUGGCGGGAAGGUGAAAGAUCCGUCGGUCCGGGAUGGGCAUGCGGCGCAUUAGCUUGUUGGCGGGGCAACGGCCCACCAAGGCGACGAUGCGUAGGGGUUCUGAGAGGAAGGUCCCCCACACUGGUACUGAGACACGGACCAGACUCCUACGGGAGGCAGCAGUGGGGAAUA